UGCCUCUUACAAUUCAUGCAUGUGCA
rnacentral:misc_RNA from 1 species